GGAGGAGGAACCUUGAGGAAGAAGAGGAGCAUGAAGAAGGAGGAUCCUGAGGAGAGAGAAUCCCUGCUGUGAGGUGCACCCCUGCUGCACCAGGCAUAUUAUUCUAGGCUGCUGUGAAAAUGUGGCUGCCAGGCAUGCUUGGUCGAUCUGAUCCAAAGGAGACGCUCUGCUCUGCUUGGAAGCAGUACUUUCAUGGGGACAACAGGAGUUACGUGGGCCCUGUUUUCCUGCCUGAAUCCUGUGGAGGGAGAAGCAUUCACGUUCACAUGCUCCUCGUCGUUUCAAGAUUAUUUAAGAAACCACCGCUGCUGAGCUAGCAGGGGAUCUUUCCUUUGGUGACCUUUGCCAGAGCAGCUGAUUGGUGUGCCCCAGCUGCAGGCCAUCAUUUUCUUGGGAAAGUUUUAAGACUCUCAGGAAAACGACCCAUCUUCUUUCCUAGCCCUUCCUGACGUGUAUGGGCUUUGCUGGCCUUUCCAACUCCAGUGUGGGAGGAGUUGUUUGUUUUCCUUUUAAAUGUUCUCCUGCCAUCCUCCUUUUUUAACAAUGCUGUUUAUACAUGAGGACUUGCUGCGCAUUCGGUGUGGCACAUGGAUGGAGUGGAUGCUUUGAACUGCUUUUGCAACAAUGGAUUCUGCUUGACUGAUAAUGAAACCAUGGGACAGACCUCAGGGAGUGGUAAAGAGAUGAGGGAUCCUGAGGUGACUGUGCUGUGUGGGACAUCAACUGAAUGUGCCAAAGAAUGUGAAUAUGAGCCUUCUCAAGAGUUGUUUCCUGGUGUUGAAAUUUCCCCCAUUUACAGUUAUCCUUCCACUUCUCAAACAAUUUUUUAGGUCUUAAAAAAAAAAUAAAAU